rnacentral:rRNA from 1 species
AUUGAACGCUGGCGGCAUGCCUUACACAUGCAAGUCGAACGGCAGCGCGGGGCAACCUGGCGGCGAGUGGCGAACGGGUGAGUAAUAUAUCGGAACAUACCCUAGAGUGGGGGAUAACGUAGCGAAAGUUACGCUAAUACCGCAUACGAUCUGAGGAUGAAAGUGGGGGGAUCUUAGGACCUCAUGCUCAUGGAGUGGCCGAUAUCUGAUUAGCUAGUUGGUAGGGUAAAAGCCUACCAAGGCGACGAUCAGUAGCUGGUUUGAGAGAACGACCAGCCACACUGGAACUGAGACACGGUCCAGACUCCUACGGGAGGCAGCAGUGGGGAAUUUUGGACAAUGGGGGCAACCCUGAUCCAGCAAUGCCGCGUGAGUGAAGAAGGCC